AUUGAACGCUGGCGGCAGGCCUAACACAUGCAAGUCGAACGAGUGGCGGACGGGUGAGUAAUGUCUGGGAAACUGCCCGAUGGAGGGGGAUAACUACUGGAAACGGUAGCUAAUACCGCAUACCAUCGGAUGUGCCCAGAUGGGAUUAGCUAGUAGGUGGGGUAACGGCUCACCUAGGCGACGAUCCCUAGCUGGUCUGAGAGGAUGAACCGCCACAAUGGGACUGAGACACGGCCCAGACUCCUACGGGAGGCAGCAGUGGGGAAUCAUCCGAAAUGGACGAAAGUCCGACGGAGCAAAGCCGGGGGAGUGAUGACGGCCUUCGGGUUGUAAAGCUCGUUAAGCGGGACGACGGUACCGGAAGAGAAAGCCACGGCUAACUACGUGCCAGCAGCCGCGGUAAUUC
rnacentral:rRNA from 1 species